rnacentral:rRNA from 1 species
UACGAGGGGUCCAAGCGUUGUUCGGAAUCACUGGGCGUAAAGCGGGUGUAGGUGGCCAAGCAAGUUGGAUGUGAAAGCCCCGGGCUCAACCCGGGAAGUGCAUCCAAAACUACAUGGCUUGAGUAAGGGAGAGAAAGGUAGAAUUCCAGGUGUAGUGGUGAAAUACGUAGAUAUCUGGAGGAACACCGGUGGCGAAGGCGGCCUUUUGGCCCAUUACUGACACUCAGACCCGAAAGCGUGGGUAGCAAAC